AUUGAACGCUGGCGGCAGGCCUAACACAUGCAAGUCGAGCGGAUGAAGGGAGCUUGCUCCUGGAUUCAGCGGCGGACGGGUGAGUAAUGCCUAGGAAUCUGCCUGGUAGUGGGGGAUAACGUCCGGAAACGGGCGCUAAUACCGCAUACGUCCUGAGGGAGAAAGUGGGGGAUCUUCGGACCUCACGCUAUCAGAUGAGCCUAGGUCGGAUUAGCUAGUUGGUGGGGUAAAGGCCUACCAAGGCGACGAUCCGUAACUGGUCUGAGAGGAUGAUCAGUCACACUGGAACUGAAACACGGUCCAGACUACUACGGGAGGCAGCAGUGGGGAAUAUUGGACAAUGGGCGAAAGCCUGAUCCAGCCAUGCCGCGUGUGUGAAGAAGGUCUUCGGAUUGUAAAGCACUUUAAGUUGGGAGGAAGGGCAGUAAGUUAAUACCUUGCUGUUUUGACGUUACCAACAGAAUAAGCACCGGCUAACUUCGUG
rnacentral:rRNA from 1 species